UUGUUUUAAACUUUUCUAAAUGAUUCUGAAUUUUAAGGGGAAAACUCCAAAUACUCACACUUUUUCAUUUUAGUAUUUUGUGGUUUAAAGUGUAUCAAUUUAAUAUCAUGUGGUUUCGCACUUUCUCACUGCUCUUGUUUUAAACUUUUCUAAAUGAUUCUGAAUUUUAAGGGGAAAACUUCAAAUACUCACACUUUUUCAUUUUAGUAUUUUGUGGUUUAAAGUGUAUCAAUUUAAUAUCAUGUGGUUUCGCACUUUCGCACUUUCGCACUUUCGCACUUUAGUACCUUAUGGUUUAAAGUGCAUCAAUUUAGUAUUCUGUUGUUUCAUUUUUUUUUUUUCUUUUCGUUGGCUCUUCUGUUAAUAUUUCAUUAAAUUAUAUACAAAAAACUUCAGAUAUCCUAUCUAGUUUUAUCGAAUAUUUACUUUAGUAUCUUUUAGUUUUAACUUUAUCAUUGAUUAUUUUUUCCUCCGUUAAUAUUUCGUUAAAUUAUAUACAAAAAAACAUCAGAUAUCCUACCUAGGUUUAUCGAAUAUUCACUUUAGUACCAUUUAGUUUUAACUUUAUCACUGAUUUAACGAAAAAAAUUAGUGAAAUAGAUAAUAAAAAAAGAAAAAUGAAAUCACAGGGUACUAACUUGAUACGCUUUAAACAACAUGAUACUAAAGUGAGAAAGUACGAAACCAUAGAGCUAACUUGAUAUACUCUAAACUAUAGGGUAUUAAAGUGAGAACUUGUGAAACCACGGGGUGUAUUUGAAGUUUACCCAAUUUUAAAAUAGUGAUUUUUACAUAUU
rnacentral:lncRNA from 1 species